GCAUGGUAAACAUGAAAUGAUUUUAGAAUUGCUUUCAUGACAAAUUGAUGCAUUAAUUGGGUCACUUACAUGUACUGCUGAAGUUGUGAGUUAAUGUUUGCUAUUGACCUUUCUAUUUUAUCCUUUUAAUUGAUAAUGUCUACAGGCAGAUAAAAAGGAUAUUGUUAGUACGCAGGACCAGGCUCUUAAAGAGGCUUUUGAGGUCUUUUGCAACAAAGGUGUUGCUGGAAACUCUAGUGCAGAACUUCUUGCCACUUUUUGUGAUAACAUUCUCAACAAAGGAUGUUUUCAUUAUUUUAUGGACUUUGGCAGUACAUGUUCAACAAGUUAGAGCUUCAUGUACUCAUUUUAGGGAAUGACAAGGCUGGCAAAACGACUUUGCUUGAGAAGAUGAAGUCGGUGUACACGAAUGUAGAAGGUCUUCCUCCGG